GGGCGAUCGUCCGUACCUGGAACCUAGAUGCGUGGUUCCAUCCCCCUGUCUGGGCCGAGUUGGGCUCUCCCGGGCGACCAUUGGUAGGAAAACACGUGAGAGCCCGCCCACGUGACCCUUUUGGCGCGCAAUUUUCUCGGGGUUCACGGGCUGGCCGAAGGUGCUUGCAGAAGAAAAGCGGGGGAGCAGCAGCCGCCGGUGAAGCAGCGUCAUGUCCUCGCCGGCCUCCACACCGAGCCGCCGCGGCAGCAAGCGCGGGCGGAGCAGCAACCCCCCGACUCCACGCCCUGAGGAUGCUCAGUCUCCUCCUUCACAAAAACGUUGAACAGAUGACUCCACAUCUACAGGAGAUCUACAGCCAAUGCGAACUUCUCCAGCAGUGGACAUGCAAAGCCCAAAUGCUCAAGAUGUUCUGUUUUCCAGCCCACCACAAUUUCGAGAAUCGGGACAUUCUGCUUCAGCUGUUUGGGGGACCAAGAAAAGAUUUCAGUCAUACUGGAAGAGGCAAUUUUCGUGCUGAGAUCAACAUUCUUCUCUGUGAUGAUCCUGGCACUAGUAAAUCACAGCUGCUUCAAUAUGUCUAUAACCUGGUUCCUUAGAGACCAGUACACAUCUGGGAAGGGCUCUAGUGCAGUUGGUCUCACUGCAUAUGUAAUGAAGGAUCCAGAGACAAGGCAGCUGAUUCUGCAGACGGGUGCUCUGGUUCUCAGUGACAAAGGCAUUUGCUGCAUUGAUGAAUGAAAGUACAAGAUCAGUACUGCAUGAAGUAAUGGAACAACAGACUCUAUUGCCAGGGUAAGACUCUAGCUCAACAUUGUACCAUGCUACCCAGGUUAAUAUCUGUUAGAUGCUUAAUAGGGCUGUCAAAGGAUUAAAAAGAUUAAUCGCACAAGUACAAAGAUGAUGGCCAAGCAUGAAGGGGCAUACGAAUGUUUAGCAUAUCUGGCAUGUAAAUACCUUGCAAUGCCGGCUACAAAAGUG